AAAACGAAAGUAGAUUACAUUCAGUUUCGACCUGAAAAAAGGGACAACCUCGUUUUA
rnacentral:tRNA from 2 species